rnacentral:sRNA from 1 species
ACUAUUGGUUUAAUGGCAAAAGGUAAACGCAAAUAUGAAUGGUUUAUAAUGGAAAUUUGCAAAACUACAUUUUUUUACUACCCUUUCGUAUUAAUAUCUUUUUGUGUUUUCUAUUUUUAAAAAUACCCCUUCCAUUGAACAGAAUGACCAAAUUACCCUCAUCUAAUAGGAAUAUGUAAUUGGAAACUGAAAUUUUCCCGCUAAAUUUUUGGCGCCAAAAUUUUUCCUACCAAAAAAAAGUUCGUGACAAAUUUUUUCUCAGCAAAAGAAAUGCUUUUAAAAAUCCUUGUAAAUUUUUUUUGGCGGGACACAGAUUUACAAAGGAUUUUAAAAGUAUUUUAAAAGAUUUACAAGUGAUUUUAAAAGGGUUUAAAAAUAUUUACAAGGGAUUUUAAAGGGCUUUCAAAGAUUUAUAAAGGUUUUUUAAUGAUUUUUAAAGGGUUUAAAAGUGUUUUAAAAGAUUUACAAGGGAUUUUAAAUGAGUUUUAUAAUAUUUACAAGGGAUUUUAAAAGUGUUUUACAAGAUUUACAAGAGAUUUUAAAAGGUUUUAAUAAAAUUUACAAGAGUUUUUAAAGGAUUUUCUUGUAAAUUCUUUAAAAAUCUUUUAAAAAUCCUUGUACAUCUUUUAAAACUCUUUUAAAAUUUCUUGUAAAUCUUUAAAACCCUUUUAAAAUCCCUUGUAAAUAUUUUAAAACGCUUUUAAACCCUUUAAAAAUCUUUUAAAAACCUUUAUAAAUUUUUUAAAGCCCUUUAAAAUCCUUUGUAAAUGUAUUAAAACCCUUUUAAAAUCACUUGUAAAUAUUUUAAAACCCUUUUAAAAUCUCUUGUAAAUCUUUUAAAAUCCCUUUAAAAUCCCUUUAAAAUCCCUUGUAAAUAUUUUAAAACUUUUUUAAAAUCGCUUUAAAAUCUUUUAAAACUCUUUUAAAAUCAUUUGUAAAUCUAUUUCCCGCCAAAAAAAAAAAAUUUUACGGGAAAAAUAUUUUUGAAAAAAGUUUUGGCAGGAAUCGUUUUUUCAAAAAAUUUUGGCGGGAAAAUUUUGGCGGGAAUUUUAUUUUGGAAUAUUUUAGGCGAAAAAUAUUAAUAUUUCAUUUUGUUAACCUAAAACAAUUUCUAAAUAGGGGUAAAAUGGUCAAUAAAAAAUUAAAGAGGGUAGAAAUAAAAAUGGCAAAUAGAAAAAUGGUAGAAUUGGAAAAGAGUAGUUUGCAAAGGGCAUUCUCAGCAAUUAUCCUGAGUAUUAGUCAGAAGAUAUUCUUAUUCCAAUUUUUUUUUGACAUAGUAUGAAAAUAAUAAGAAUAACCAGAUUAUAACAU